rnacentral:piRNA from 1 species
UCCCCAACUCUUCCUGUUGAUGGAAAUUAU